rnacentral:tRNA from 1 species
AUUUAAAUAGCUUAUACAGAGUAUAAUAUUGAAGAUAUUAAGGAGAUAUAAUUAUCUUUAAAUA